rnacentral:rRNA from 1 species
GGUCUGGCUGGCGGGUCCGCCUCACCGCGUGCACUUGUCCGGCCGGGCCUUUCCUUCUGGAGAACCUCAUGCCCUUCACUGGGCGUGUUGGGGAACCAGGACUUUUACUUUGAAAAAAUUAGAGUGUUUAAAGCAGGCGAAACAGCUUGAAUACAUUAGCAUGGAAUAAUAAAACAGGAC